rnacentral:ribozyme from 13 species
AACGCGACCAGGCAAGUGGUUCUCGUUGAGGCUCGGCUUGAUUCAUCCUCCUCGUAUGAUAUUGUAUUAUUAUAUAAUAGAAUAUAAUAUUAUAUGAGGUUUGAAU